rnacentral:lncRNA from 1 species
CGACGAUAGAAUUGUCAAUUUAUAGAUUGAUAAAAAUUCUAUUCGAAGUGAAAAAGUGUCUUCAGAAAUAUUGUGAAACUGUUUGCUCACGAAGUGGUAUUAACCAUUUGUGGAUUCUAAAAACCUCUUAAGUCCUUCUGGGUAAUUUCAAAUCUCGAUCUUUCUCUGACAUAAAUUCUAUCUAUGUCUCAACCCUGUAUACAAC